AAGGUAACGGCGAGACGAGCCGGUGAUUAUUACGAUAGGUGUCAAGUGGAAGUGCAGUGAUGUAUGCAGCUGAGGCAUUCUAACAAACCUAAAAGACUUGAAC
rnacentral:rRNA from 1 species